AUGAAGUUGGAUUCGCUAGUAACCGCGCAUCAGCCAUGGCACGGUGAAUACGUUCCCGGGCCUUGUACACGCCGCCCGUCAAGCCAUGGGAGCCGGGGGUGCCUGAAGUUCGUGACCGCAAGGAGCGACCUAGGGCAAAACUGGUGACUGGGGCUAAGUCGUAACAAGGUAUC
rnacentral:rRNA from 1 species